ACAUUUGAUAGUCGCCGAAGCCCGGUAUAUGAACCAAGCCGUUAACCGAUAGCGGCGUGCCUAGCAAAUACCCGGUGACUGCGAGAGUUCCGGAAUCAAGAGAGUCCUGCUUCGACGAAAAACAACCACAUGUCCGCUGCAGUAUCCAGUUCAAGAACUUUUUCUUCAGGGAGCCACUUUGUAAUCGCACGUUGCACGGAUUGUUUGUACUCCUGACGUUUCUAUCGUGUGAAAAAAAUUUUAAACACGCUAUCACGUAACACUGCACUUACUUUAAUAUGAAGUUUUUGGAUGUCGUGUACUGCCACUAUGGUAGCGGGUAAGCCUUGAGCGAGGCAAGACACGAUGACUUCCUUACCCCAAUCGU